GACGAACGCUGGCGGCGUGCUUAACACAUGCAAGUCGAACGGAAAGGCCCUGCUUUUGUGGGGUGCUCGAGUGGCGAACGGGUGGGUAACACGUGAGUAACCUGCCCUUGACUUUGGGAUAACUUCAGGAAACUGGGGCUAAUACCGGAUAGGAGCUCCUGCUGCAUGGUGGGGGUUGGAAAGUUUCGGCGGUUGGGGAUGGACUCGCGGCUUAUCAGCUUGUUGGUGGGGUAGUGGCUUACCAAGGCUUUGACGGGUAGCCGGCCUGAGAGGGUGACCGGCCACAUUGGGACUGAGAUACGGCCCAGACUCCUACGGGAGGCAGCAGUGGGGAAUAUGGCACAAUGGGCGGAAGCCUGAUGCAGCAACGCCGCGUGCGGGAUGACGGCCUUCGGGUUGUAAACCGCUUUCGCCUGUGACGAAGCGUGAGUGACGGUAAUGGGUAAAGAAGCACCGGCUAACUACGU
rnacentral:rRNA from 1 species